rnacentral:misc_RNA from 1 species
GUGAAGCAGAUUUUACCAUACAGAGAAAUUUAAUGCUAGGUACAGCAACAUCCUGAUAAUAAAUAAUACAGAUGAAAAUUCAUACCAAAUACUAAACCUGUUAACUACAUGAUCUGUUGGCUGUAUGAAACCAAAGUUUUCAACUUUCAAUUAAUCUUCUUGUACAUAUUGAAUACUCAAAAUGAUGCAGGAUAGUUUUCUUCAUUCCUGUUCGCCCUUUGGCUGUGAGAGGUGCAAAAACGAAAUUUAUAUAGAUCUGCUAAAAAAUGUCACCGACAAUGAAGAGAUUGGUCUCUUGAAUUGUGAGAUGGUUUGAUGUGUCAAUGAAAUGAUUUAACAUGGAAAAUCUGACACCUAGACUUGUAUCCAUCACUAGCUGCAGCCUGCUCAAACUUUUUGAUUGCAGCAUCGUUCUCUUGUAGGCUGGUCUGCACAAAGAAGCGUGCCCACCAAGAAGAGCUCCGCAUUUUUGCAGGACGUCCAAACUUGGAUAGCUCGGCGACUUUAGCUCUGGAGUGACCAGGGUAACCUGUAACUAUGACUAGACCAUCAGCUGACACCCUUGCUAACUCUGGAAUAGUCUUGUUUAGAUAUCUAGGAGAUAAGUAAUCUACUGCAUCCGAAACGAUAACAAGAGCAAAUGAUUUUGGCCUGUAGGGUAAUGGGAAUUUGAUGUCUGCCACACGUACUAUUCCUCUGCGGAUAAGAUUCUUGCAGUUCACAUCAACAUCCUCAACAUCAUAAGGUUCAAUACCCCAUGCUUCAG